GAUGAAGAACGUAGCGAAAUGCGAUAAGUAGUGUGAAUUGCAGAAUUCAGUGAAUCAUCGAAUCUUUGAACGCACAUUGCGCCCUUUGGUAUUCCAAAGGGCAUGCCUGUUCGAGCGUCAUUACGCCCCUCAAGUCCCCUGUGGACUUGGUGUUGGGGAUCGGCGAGGCUGGUUUUCCAGCACAGCCGUCCCUUAAAUUAAUUGGCGGUCUCGCCGUGGCCCUCCUCUGCGCAGUAGUAAAACACUCGCAACAGGAGCCCGGCGCGGUCCACUGCCGUAAAACCCCCCAACUUUUUAUAGUUGACCUCGAAUCAGGUAGGACUACCCGCUGAACUUAAGCAUAUCAAUAAGCGGAGGA
rnacentral:misc_RNA from 1 species